rnacentral:rRNA from 1 species
GAUGAACGCUGGCGGCGUGCCUAAUACAUGCAAGUCGAGCGAACAGACGAGGAGCUUGCUCCUCUGACGUUAGCGGCGGACGGGUGAGUAACACGUGGAUAACCUACCUAUAAGACUGGGAUAACUUCAGGAAACCGGAGCUAAUACCGGAUAAUAUAUUGAACCGCAUGGUUCAAUAGUGAAAGACGGUUUUGCUGUCACUUAUAGAUGGAUCCGCGCCGCAUUAGCUAGUUGGUAAGGUAACGGCUUACCAAGGCGACGAUGCGUAGCCGACCUGAGAGGGUGAUCGGCCACACUGGAACUGAGACACGGUCCAGACUCCUACGGGAGGCAGCAGUAGGGAAUCUUCCGCAAUAGGCGAAAGCCUGACGGAGCAACGCCGCGUGAGUGAUGAAGGUCUUCGGAUCGUAAAACUCUGUUAUUAGGGAAGAACAAAUGUGUAAGUAACUAUGCACGUCUUGACGGUACCUAAUCAGAAAGCCACGGCUAACGACGUGC